AUAAAGUUUGUCACAUUGGCCUAAAAAUGAAUGUCACUAGUUACGUUAGUGUCACAUAUAAAUACAUAAUUGUAAUAAUAUUAAUAAAAACCAUAAUUCCUAGCAUGAGUGCGUCCUGUUAUUUGACAAUUUAGUUAGGUGAGGAAACAUAAAUGAGUUUCUAAUACGGCUUUUCAUCGAUUACUAUACACGGAUUAUACGACAUAUGACAGAAGCUCAAAACAAAUGACUGUGAAUGAAAAGCCCUAUAGAGGGAACACGAAAAAAAUUAACAUUAUCCAAUCAGCUCGACUUCCACAGUUCACUACUAUACAGAUUACAGGCAUGUUUUCAGCACUUAAAAUCACCACAAACGAAAAGUUUAUAAAAUAAUCAAUCUAAUGAAUGUCUUUAAAUACUAUAUUAAGCUCAAAAUCACGACAAAAAACAAAUUAAAAUUAACAUUAUUCUGAUAAGUUGGACUUCCACAGUUCACUACUAUACAAGUCACAGGCAUGUUGUCAGCACUCAAAAUCACCAAAAACGUAAAGUUUAUAAAAUAAUUAAUCUAAUGAAUGUCUUUAAAUACUAUAUUAAGCUCAAAAUCACGACAAAAAACAAAUUAAAAUUAACAUUAUUCUGAUCAGUUGGACUUGCACAGUUCACUAUUAUACAAGUGACAGGCAUGUUGUCAGCACUCAAAACCACCAAGAACGUAAAGUUUAUAAAAUAAUUAAUCUAAUGAAUGUCUUUAAAUACUAUAUUAGCUCAAAAUCAGGACAAAAAACAAAUUAAAAUUAACAUUAUCCCGAUCAGUUGGACUUCCACAGUUCACUAAUAUACAAGUCACAGGCAUGUUGUCAGCACUCAAAAUCACCAAAAACGUAAAGUUUAUAAAAUAAUUAAUCUAAUGAAUGUCUUUAAAUACUAUACUACCUCAAAAUCACGACAAAAAACAAAUAAGAAAAAUCAAUAAUUACAUUGAGUUUAGGUUAAGAACAGUUUUGUGUGCCAACCAAAGAUCACGUGAUUUAACUUUGAGAGGUCGAUGGAUUCCCUAAUUUAACUUUUAAGGUUAACAUAACAAUAACAGUCAAUAAUAAUUAUUAUUACUAGGAUUAAUUAAUUGUACUUGAAAAGCACAAUUAUGUAUAAUUUUGAAACGUCUAGUUCAAGAAAUUUAUUGUAUUCAGAAGACCAAAAAUUAACCAGAACAGAUUAAGAACAAACUGUUUUGAACAAUAAUAAUAUGAUGAUCUGGAUUUUUAUCAAAGAUUUAGGUUGAAAACAAACAGUUUUGUGUGCCUUCUUAAUUAGAAAACCAAAUAACUUUGCCUACUAUUAGAGGUGGAUGCAUUACUGCCAUGCAACAAAUUCUGGGGGAUUUUAUGCAUCAGGAAGUAUGCAAUUAAAUGUAGCUGAUUUUACAGCAGUGUCCAGAGGUUCAGCAAGUAGAAUUAUAAAAAUAGUAUCCUUUAAAAUUGCAAGAAUCAUCAAGAGAUGGAAAGCUGUUGAAGAUUUUUACAAGAUUGCUGUAUUCCCUAGAAUAAUGAGUGCAAUGGGUUAUACUUUAAUUAAAAUAGAUUCUGCAGGUGUCCAGGAUUCAGAAAUUUUCAGGUACAGAAAAUCAUUUUUUGCAUUGAAUGUUCAGUCACUGAUGCAAAAUUUAAAAUUAGAGAUAUUGUUGAACUGUGGCCAUCAAAUAAGACAUUUUUAAUAAUAAUGGGCUGAAGCAUAAUUCAGGGGCUUAGAAUCACACAAACUUGUUUUAUUUUCGUCUACAGAAAUAUUAGGGUUACAGUAACUGAACGUUAUAAUAUGUACAGUCAGAAAAAUGAAAGAAUACCCAUGAACCAACAUAUAAAACACGCUGUAUUUUCCUGUCACCGUGUCACAAAGAAAAUUGCCCAGCGCAAGUACAUGUAACAAUAAUUAUUACAUGUACUUGCGCUGGCCAGUUUUUUGAGUGACUCGGUGACAAGAAAAUACAGCGUGUUUUAUAUGUUCGUUUAUGGGUAUUUUUUCAUUUUUCCUACUUGUACCUAGGUAUGCAUGUGCUAAUCCCCUGAAUUUUGAAAGUGGUAUCUUUGGUCAUUACAUAUUGGUUGGUGACAGUGACGAACAAGGAAUGUAGUAGAACAGCAAUAUGGGUUGUGGAAAUGAAGAUUUCCUAUACUCCGCUUAGGAACGAGACUACAAUUAGAAAACAUGACUGUGAUUGUUGCAACUAGAGUGCUUCAUAAUAUUGCCAUUGAUAUGGAUGAUAAUUUUCCUGUGAAUAAAACUGAAGAUGAAGCAAACGAUGAAUAAUUACAACCGAUAAAAAAUAACGAAAAUAUUUCAGAAAACAAUAUAACUGUGUUAAUAAAUGAAAACUUUGGUAGAUUGUAAAUAUAUUUAUUAAUAAAAGCAAAAUGAAUGUA